rnacentral:rRNA from 1 species
UACGUAGGGACCAAGCGUUGUCCGGAAUCAUUGGCGUAAAGAGCGUGUAGGCGGCUUGUUAAGUCUUGCGUGAAAUCUCGGGGCUCAACCCCGAGCGGUCGUGAGAAACUGGCAGGCUAGAGUGCGGGAGAGGAGAGUGGAAUUCCUGGUGUAGCGGUGAAAUGCGCAGAUAUCAGGAAGAACACCCGUGGCGAAGGCGGCUCUCUGGAAGCAGCAACUGACGCGAGACGCGAAAAGCGUGGGGGGAGCAAAACAGG